rnacentral:rRNA from 1 species
UCUGGUUGAUCCUACCAGUAAUGUACGCUCGUCUCAAAGGUUAAGCCAUGCAUGUCUAAGUACAUACUAAAAUAAAGUGAAACCGCAAAAGGCUCAGUAUAACAGCUGUAAUUUCUUAGAUCAUAUUCCCAGUACUUGGAUAACUGUGGAAAAUCUAGAGCUAAUACAUGCAAAUAAUGCGAGUAUCGUAAGAUUCUCGUGCAGUUAUUAGACAAACCAAUCGGUCUUCGGACUGUUUUAUAUGGUGGAACUCUAGAUAACUUUGCUGAUCGUAUGGCCUUGGUGCCGACGACAGAUCUUUCAAAUGUCUGCCCUAUCAACUUUGAUGUUAGUAUAGAGGACUAACAUGGUUGCAACGGGUAACGGGGAAUCAGGGUUCGAUUCCGGAGAGGGAGCCUGAGAAACGGCUACCACAUCUAAGGAAGGCAGCAGGCGCGUAAAUUACCCACUCCCGGCACGGGGAGGUAGUGACGAAAAAUAACAAUAUAGAACUAGUUAACUAUGUUCUGUAAUUGGAAUGAAUCAAGUUUAAAUCCUUUAAUGAGGACCAAGUGGAGGGCAAGUCUGGUGCCAGCAGCCGCGGUAAUUCCAGCUCCACUAGCGUAUGUUAAAAUUGUUGCGGUUAAAACGUUCGAAGUUGAUUAUUGUCCAGUGCGGGUGUGACAUCAUCAAGAAAUGAUUGUCAUCACUUUCCGGUUACUUGGACUAUUUGACUGAACACUAAAUGAAUAGCAUUGAUGUCUUUCACUAGACUAGAUGUCAAUUUAGUUCGGCUUACUUUUACCUUGAACAAAUUAAAGUGCUCAAAGCAGGCUUCAUAUGCUUGAAUAGUUUUGCAUGGAAUAAUGGAAAAAGACCUCGGUCUUAUUUGUUGCGCGGGUUCGCUCGCGUAAUGAUUUUCUAUUGGUUUGAUACAGAUCAAGAGGUAAUGAUUAAUAGAAGCAGUUGGGGGCAUUAGUAUUACGGCGCGAGAGGUGAAAUUCUUAGACCGUCGUAGGACUAACUAAAGCGAAAGCAUUUGCCAAGGAUGUUUUCAUUAAUCAAGAACGGAAGUUAGAGGAUCGAAGGCGAUUAGAUACCGCCCUAGUUCUAACUGUAAACGAUGACAGCUAGCGAUUGGGUGUCACUACAUAAUGGUGCACUCAGUAGCUUUCCGGGAAACUAAAGCUAGUUUCCGGGGGAAGUAUGGUUGCAAAGUUGAAACUUAAAGGAAUUGACGGAAGGUUACCUUCAGGAAUGGAAUUUGCGGCUUAAUUUGACCCAACACGGGAAAACUUACCAGGUCC